CAUGCCGCGUGUGUGAAGAAGGCCUUCGGGUUGUAAAGCACUUUCAGUGGUGAGGAAAGGGUGAUAGUUAAUAGCUAUCACAGUUGACGUUAGCCACAGAAGAAGCACCGGCUAACUCCGUGCCAGCAAUCGGUGACUGAGCGGGCUGGCAAGGCGCAUA
rnacentral:rRNA from 1 species